rnacentral:rRNA from 1 species
UAGGGAAUAUUGCACAAUGGGCGAAAGCCUGAUGCAGCAACGCCGCGUGAAGGAUGAAGGCCUUUGGGUCGUAAACUUCUGUCCUUGGGGAAGAAAAAAAUGACGGUGCCCCUGGAGGAAGUCCCGGCUAACUACGUGCCAGCAGCCGCGGUAAUACGUAGGGGGCGAGCGUUAUCCGGAAUUAUUGGGCGUAAAGAGUACGUAGGUGGUCUUUUAAGCGCAGGGUUUAAGGCAAUGGCUUAACCAUUGUUCGCCCUGUGAACUGGAAGACUUGAGUGUAGGAGAGGAAAGUGGAAUUCCUAGUGUAGCGGUGAAAUGCGUAGAUAGUAGGAGGAACAUCAGUGGCGAAGGCGACUUUCUGGACUAUUACUGACACUGAGGUACGAAAGCGUGGGGAGCAAACA